UACGGGGGGAGCAAGCGUUGUUCGGAUUUACUGGGCGUAAAGGGCGCGUAGGCGGCGCAACAAGUCACUUGUGAAAUCUCCGGGCUUAACCCGGAGCGGCCAAGUGAUACUGUCGUGCUAGAGUGCGGAAGGGGCUACUGGAAUUCUCGGUGUAGCGGUGAAAUGCGUAGAUAUCGAGAGGAACACCUGCGGCGAAGGCGGGUAGCUGGGCCGACACUGACGCUGGGGCGCGAAAGCCAGGGGAGCGAACGGG
rnacentral:rRNA from 1 species